AUUGAACGCUGGCGGCAUGCCUUACACAUGCAAGUCGAACGGCAGCACGGGUGCUUGCACCUGGUGGCGAGUGGCGAACGGGUGAGUAAUACAUCGGAACGUACCUUAUCGUGGGGGAUAACGCAGCGAAAGUUGCGCUAAUACCGCAUACGCCCUGAGGGGGAAAGCGGGGGACCGUAAGGCCUCGCGCGAUUAGAGCGGCCGAUGUCUGAUUGGCUUGUUGGUGAGGUAAAAGCUCACCAAGGCGAUGAUCAGUAGCUGGUCUGAGAGGACGAUCAGCCACACUGGGACUGAGACACGGCCCAGACUCCUACGGGAGGCAGCAGUGGGAAUUUUGGACAAUGGGGGCAACCCUGAUCCAGCAAUGCCGCGUGAGUGAAGAAGGCCUUCGGGUUGUAAAGCUCUUUUGUCAGGGAAGAAACAGCAGCUCUAACACAGUCUGCGAAUGACGGUACCUGAAGAAUAAGCACCGGCUAACUACGUGCCAGCCGCCGCAGUAA
rnacentral:rRNA from 1 species